GGAGAAGUAGCUCAAUGGUAGAGCCCCCUCUUGACAAGGGUUUCUACGGAAACCUUUUUCAAGGGGCUGGUUAUGGGUUCAACUCCCAUCUUCUCCA
rnacentral:tRNA from 1 species